UACGUAGGUGGCAAGCGUUGUCCGGAAUUAUUGGGCGUAAAGCGCGCGCAGGCGGCCUUUUAAGUCUGAUGUGAAAGCCUACGGCUCAACCGUGGAAGGUCAUUGGAAACUGAAAGGCUUGAGUACAGAAGAGGAAAGCGGAAUUCCACGUGUAGCGGUGAAAUGCGUAGGGAUGUGGAGGAACACCAGUGGCGAAGGCGGCUUUCUGGUCUGUAACUGACGCUGAGGCGCGAAAGCGUGGGGAGCAAACAGG
rnacentral:rRNA from 1 species